AAGAGUGGGAAAAUACGAAAUUGUGGACUUACAUCGAUUGAAAUUAGAGAAAGACGACCAGCAUGGUGACACUUUUCAAGUUUUGACAUAAAUCUCUUGCUCUUGGAUAUCUUUUCUGGUGUAACAUACAAUAUUUUAAGCUCAUCAUCGCCCUUCUCCAAUGCCUUGUAUAUGAACUUCUCAUUUUCCUUACUAGUUGUUGAGGUUAACAUGAAAGCUGGGAUGCCUAAAGCAGCCAACCCCAUGACCUGAGGCAAUAAGUAUAUGAACUUCUCGUUUUCCUUGCUAGUUGUUGAGGUUAACAUGAAAGCUGGGAUGCCUAAAGCAGCCAACCCCAUGACCUGA
rnacentral:lncRNA from 1 species